UGUUCUUGUUGUUCAUGGUCCUGGUUUCCUGGGGUCAGAUGGUUCCUGUGAACUGGUUCCGCUGUCAAAUGACACUGCCUUUCAGGGCCUAGCAGGUGUUCAGAGUGGAGCCUUUCUCUUGUAUAUACUUUGAAGGAACCCUCUGACCUGGCCCCUGGCACUCCCUUGAGACCUGCUUUCUGCUCAGUGUGACUCUCUCCCUCAUGGAAACCAGUCAUAUACUGGAAACUGGAGUCCCAACACCUCCUCCAGGGAGCCCUCCUGGAUGCACCCCAUAUUUGGAUCCACCAGAGCAGUCACUUUUCUCCAGCCCUUCACAGGUCAUGAAGUCCCCAAAGUCCAGGGGACCCGCAGUAGAUUCUCCAGGCCAUCCUGCUAGACGUCCUUCCUACCCUGGCUUGAGGUGAGGGAGGCACCCGGGCCUGUCCCCUUUCUCUUGAGGGGGAGAGCAUGAGACUUAUAGCACAGUCCCCUCUGAAGAAAUCCUCUCCAAACCUGCCUUCCCCAAACCUUUCAGACCCUGGUCAAGGCAAAAGGCACGAAACCCACUGGGAUCCAUCAAUGUUAGAAAUCUUCUCUGUGGUCUGGCACCUGCCACUGUUGGCUGUGUCUACUUAUUUCAGGACUCAGUGAAAACGUCCAUCUUAGUAGCAUCCUGUUACUCUAGUAAUAUCCAACUUUGAGGAUCACAGUUGUUGCCCCCUAAAUAUUCUCAGUUCUCCACCUUCUGAGCACAUGAUGGGUGGCACUUCCUGGUUGCCUUGUGAUUGGCUGGAGCCAUGUGAUGAGUUCUGACCAAUCGGCUGCAAGCACAAGUGAUGAUGUCACUGGCCAGGCUGGAGCAUUUAAUUGCGGGUGCAAGACCCUUCGCUCUCUUUCUCCGCCACAAUGACUAGGAACAUUCCAGAGAGUUGCUGCCUCAUCAGCCUGAGUCCUGCCAGAAGGGUGACCCAAAAAGAGACCCCAGGUGACCCCAAAUGGUCAUGUAGCAUGAACAAGAAAGAAACUAUUAAGUCACUAAGAUGUUGGGGUUGUUUGUUAUUGUAGCAUAACCUAGCAUCUCACUUAGUAUAUUUGAAUUCCAUGGUUGCUGUAACAAGUCACCGCAGACUUAAUGGCUUAAUACUCACUGGGCUGAAACCAAGGUGUUAGCAGGACCCUGCUCCUUUGAGGGGCUGUAGGGCGAAGCUGUUUUCUGGCCUUUAACAGCUUCUAGAGCCAUGUCCUUUUCAUUCCUUGGUUCACGGAGACUUCUUCUAUCCUCAAAGCCCGCUGAAGAGCAUCGUCAGCUCUCUCUCUGUCUGCUUCAUUGUCACAUGAUCUUCUCUUCUGUUUUUGUAGUCUCAUCUCCCUCUGCUUCCCUCUUAUAAGGACACUUGUGAUUGCAUUUGGGGCCCACCCAGCUAAUCCAGCAUAAUCUCCCCAUUCCAAGAGGCUUAACUGAGUUCCAUCCGCAAAGCUUCUUUGGCCAUAGCAGGUCACAUUCCUAGGUCCCAGAGAUCAGGAACCAGUAUCUUUGGGUGGCUAUCAUUCAGCCUACAACAGUGGGUUCCCUAGAAGCCAGGAUUCAGGUGAAAAUUGUUUAUUUGGGAAGUGACUCCGGGAAGGAGAGUGAGGAAAUGGGGAAACCAAGAAUGGGUAUGUUACUGAGAUUACUGCCAUGGACAACUGAGGCUCAAUCCUACUGGAGAAUUCUGGGAAAGAGUGUGGAACUGUGCAGUAAAGGAUUAAUCAACCAAAGACAAGCCUUGGUGGGGAGGAUAUAGCUUAGUGGAAGAGUGCGUGCUUAGCACGCACAAGGUCCUGGGUUCAAUCACCAGUCCCUUCAAAAAAUAAAUAAAUAAGUAAACCUAAUUAUUUCCCCAACACCCCCCCCCCCAUCCACCAAAAAGACAAGUCUGGCCUUUGCCCUUAGCUCCCAGUAGGUGACCUCUAAGCCCUAGGAAUGUCUUGCCUGAUAAGAGUAUCUUUGUUUAUCUGGGGGCCUUGGUGAUGCCAGAUAGUUGAUGCUAACACUGUGAUUUAUUUUCAGAGGCUUAAGCCACACUGGAUAGUAACAGUGUUAUCUAUGGUGGGGGCCUUGGACCACCCAGUAUCAGCUUGACCUCUGGAGGGGCUGGAGACUGAGUUCAGCCAUAUAGAUGGUCAACCAUGUUUAUGUGACCAAGACCCACUAAAAACUCUGGGCACUGAUGUUGGAGUGAGCUUCCUAGGUUGGCAGUAUACCAUGGGUGAUGUCCCACAUCACGCUGGGAGAAGUUAGCACUGUAUGCUUGACUCCACUGGGAGGGAACAAUGGAAUGUUUGCUUCUGGUUUCAGGAGCAAAAUUAACAGAACAUGCACCUGUUGCCUUGGCUGAUUUUAAUCUGUUCUUUCCCUGUAAUAAACCAUAACCAUGAGUACGAGAGCUCUCAGUGAGAAUGAUCAAAACUGAAGGAAGUCUUGGGAACCCCAAACUUGCUGUUGGUAGAAGUGAGGUUUGGGGGACCCCAAUAUUUGCAACUGGUAGAAGUGAGAGUGGUCUUGGGGACUCUUAAACUUUGCAACAAUGCACCUCAGAGUUGUUCCACCCAAGAUGUGAUAGAGCUGGGGUAUUUAUGCUCCAACUCUCAUCUGUCAUUGGCUGAGAAUUCUCCCAAGGGCAUUAACUCCCACAUGACUUCUCGUGAGAAAAAGCCCUCAGACAGAGAGUGGCAGGCCUGGCAGUGCUGGCACAGCAAUGUCAGGGGGACAUGAGCAGGACACCCACGGUGUUUGUUCAUCCAGCCUGUCCUGACUAAUACUUUGAUAUUUAUUGAGAAUUUUGUAAGUGUUAGGCACUGUUCAAGCCCUUUAUUUCCUUAGGGUCCUCAAGAUACCCCAUGGUCUAUUAAUAAGCCUAUCCUUCUGAUAAAGAAACUGAAGCACAGGGAGGUUAAGCCACUUAAAUAAGGUACAUCAAUCAGCUUGAGCUACCAUAACAAAAUACCAUAGACUGGGUGAGUUAAACAACAGAAAUUUAUUUCUCAUAGAUCUGGGGACUAGAAGUCCAAGAUAAAGUUGUCAGCUUCUUUGGGUUCUGGUAAGGGCUCUCUUUCUGGCUUGUAGAUGACUACCUUCUUGCUGUGUCCUCACAAGUUGUAGAGAGAGAGCAUUCUCCUGUCUCUUCUUAAAAGGACACUAAUCCUGUUGGAUCAGGGCUCCACCCUUAUGACCUCAUUUAACCAUAAUUAUCUCCAUAAAGACCUGGACUCCAAAUACAGUCACAUUGGUGAUUGGGGCUUUAACACAUGAAUUUGGGGUUAACACAUUCAGUCGAUAGCCCAGGAUCACAGAGCUGUUUAGUGCUAGAGUAGAGAUUCAAACCCAAGCUACUACCCACUGCUCCUUACAGCCAAUGGAGCUGCAGAAAGCCUGCAGAGGGGAAGGGAGAGUGGAUGAGGGAGGGAAGGUGGGGAUCAUGGGAGUGGCCUGAUCUAUUCCCAGGAAGACUGAGACUGGGGGAACCUGAACUUCAACCUGCUUGGGACCAAGAUCACCCCAAAAUUUUGCAGCUUGAGUGGUUGCUUUAAACUCUAAAUUGGACCCAGUCACUCUCUUGCUCAGAACCCACCAUUGGCUUCUUAUCACUCUUAGAAAAAAAUGGGCCCCUCCCCACAGCCUAUAAGACCCUGUUGCCUCCCUGCCCUCAUCUCUUACCACUGUCCUUUUCCCUGACCUCACUCCAGCCCCCUUGAUGUUUCCCAAACAUGCCAAAUGAGUUUCAGCCUCAGGGCCUUUGCAUAUGCUUUCCCUCCCAACAGGAAAAAUCUACCCCCUGGAAUUUGCAGGGCUUGCUCUCUCUCUUCAUUCAAGUUUCUGCUUGGGGCACAGAACAUUUCCAAAUUUUCCUUUUUCUUUUUGGACAACUCCAUUUUUAAGAGGGACCACACAGCCAUCCAGGAAAAAGACUACAUUUCCCAGCAUUCCUUGAAACUGUGGCCAUGUGACUGCAUUCUGGCCAAUGGCAUGUGAGCAGCAGUGAUGUGUGCAUCUUCUGGGCAAUGCCCUUGACGGGGAAGGAGCAGAGACUUCACCUGACCUUUCCCCUCCAGCUGGCUGGAAGGUGAAUGUGAGGAAUCAUCUUGGCCCACGUUAGAGAUGGAAGAUCAGAAGACAGAGCCUUAGUCCCCCCUCCCCCCAACAAUGUAGCUAACCAUUCCAGCCCUGGACCAUUUACAUCUGGAUUACUAACUGAGUGCUAAA